rnacentral:rRNA from 1 species
UACAGAGGUCUCAAGCGUUGUUCGGAUUCAUUGGGCGUAAAGGGUGUGUAGGUGGCGCCGUAAGUCGGGUGUGAAAUUUCGGAGCUUAACUCCGAAACUGCAUUCGAUACUGCGGUGCUUGAGGACUGGAGAGGAGACUGGAAUUUACGGUGUAGCAGUGAAAUGCGUAGAUAUCAGGAGGAACACCUGUGGUGUAGACGGCUCUCUGGACCGCAACUGACGCUGAGACACGAAAGCGUGGGUAGCAAACAGG